GACAGAGGUCCCGAGCGUUAGGCGGAAUCACUGGGCUUAAAGCGUGUGUAGGCGGAUUUGUAAGUACCUUGUGAAAUCCCACGGCUCAACCGUGGAACUGCUUGGUAUACUGCUUAUCUUGGGCCAUCUAGGGGCUACCGGAACAAGUGGUGGAGCGGUGAAAUGCGUAGAUAUCACUUGGAACGCCAAUGGUGAAAACAGGUAGCUGGGGAUGUGCCGACGCUGAGACACGAAAGUCAGGGGGAGCAAACGGGG
rnacentral:rRNA from 1 species